rnacentral:rRNA from 1 species
UACGGGGGGGGCAAGCGUUGUUCGGAAUUACUGGGCGUAAAGGGCUCGUAGGCGGCCAACUAAGUCAGACGUGAAAUCCCUCGGCUUAACCGGGGAACUGCGUCUGAUACUGGAUGGCUAGAGAUUGGGAGAGGGAUGCGGAAUUCCAGGUGUAGCGGUGAAAUGCGUAGAUAUCUGGAGGAACACCGGUGGCGAAGGCGGCAUCCUGGACCAACACUGACGCUGAGUGAGCGAAAGCCAGGGGAGCAAACGGG